rnacentral:misc_RNA from 1 species
ACAAAUCAAAUUGUAGUGUUGGAUGAUUGAUUUAUUCUUUGAUGAUGCAAGGUGUGCUGAGUUCAGCACUAUGUAUCCACGGAGUAUAACAUCAAACAUCAUCACUUAACAUUUGUGCUCCAGGCAUUUCGUCUGGGUGCAAUUAUAUAUCAUAUAUAUAUUCAUUAUUGUCAGUUGUUUGUCUAUUUUAAAUUUAUAAUC